GCAGACACAUUCCAGCCAAUCAGCAGCAGACCCUCCCUCCCAGACCCUCCCACCUCCUGGACAGCAUCCAUUUUGAAGCUGCAUUCUUAGUGAGCUGUCCAGGAGGUGGGAGGGUGUGGGAGGGAGGGUCUGUUGCUGAUUGGCUGGAAUGUGUCUG